UGGUGUAGAGGUGAAGACUGGGGGAAGGGGCAGAUUGGUGUAGAGGUGAAGACUGUGGGAAGGGCAGAUUGGUGUAGAGGUGAAGACUGUGGGAAGGGCAGAUUGGUGUAGAGGUGAAGACUGGGGGAAGGGCAGAUUGGUGUAGAGGUGAAGACUGUGGGAAGGGCAGAUUGGUG